rnacentral:rRNA from 1 species
CUUGACGAGGUCCCAGGCGGCGUCGAGCGCACCCUGGUCGUAGAGGAGGCCAACCCAGAGGGCCGGGAGCGCGCAGAUCCGGCCCCAGGGCCGCCGUCUGCGCCGCGCAUCUCCAGGAAGGUCUUGAGCCGCACUUCGGGGAAGGCGGGGACGACGUCAGGUCAUCAUGGCCCUUACGCCUAGGGCUACACACGUGCU